CUUGACCUCGGAUCAGGUAGGGAUACCCGCUGAACUUAAGCAUNNNNNNNNNNNNNNNNNNNNNNNNNNNNNNNNNNNGCCCUAGUAACGGCGAGUGAAGCGGCAACAGCUCAAAUUUGAAAUCUGGCGUCUUUGGCGUCCGAGUUGUAAUUUGCAGAGGGCGCUUUGGCAUUGGCAGCGGUCCAAGUUCCUUGGAACAGGACGUCACAGAGGGUGAGAAUCCCGUACGUGGUCGCUAGCCUUUACCGUGUAAAGCCCCUUCGACGAGUCGAGUUGUUUGGGAAUGCAGCUCUAAAUGGGAGGUAAAUUUCUUCUAAAGCUAAAUACUGGCCAGAGACCGAUAGCGCACAAGUAGAGUGAUCGAAAGAUGAAAAGCACUUUGGAAAGAGAGUUAAAAAGCACGUGAAAUUGUUGAAAGGGAAGCGCUUGCAGCCAGACUUGCCUGUAGUUGCUCAUCCGGGUUUCUACCCGGUGCACUCUUCUACGGGCAGGCCAGCAUCAGUUUGGGCGGUUGGAUAAAGGUCUCUGUCAUGUACCUCCCUUCGGGGAGAUCUUAUAGGGGAGACGACAUGCAACCAGCCUGGACUGAGGUCCGCGCAUCUGCUAGGAUGCUGGCGUAAUGGCUGUAAGCGGCCCGUCUUGAAACACGGACCAAGGAGUCUAACAUCUAUGCGAGUGUUUGGGUGUCAAGCCCGAGCGCGUAAUGAAAGUGAACGGAGGUGGGAACCUUUCGGGGUGCACCAUCGACCGAUCCUGAUGUCUUCGGAUGGAUUUGAGUAAGAGCAUAGCUGUUGGGACCCGAAAGAUGGUGAACUAUGCUUGAAUAGGGUGAAGCCAGAGGAAACUCUGGUGGAGGCUCGCAGCGGUUCUGACGUGCAAAUCGAUCGUCAAAUUUGGGCAUAGGGGCGAAAGACUAAUCGAA
rnacentral:rRNA from 1 species